GCACACUUAGCUCAGUGGUAGAGCGGAGGAUUGCAGCUCCUCAGGUCAGCUGUUCGAUCCAGUUAGGGUGCU